UACGUAGGGUCCGAGCGUUGUCCGGAAUUAUUGGGCGUAAAGGGCUCGUAGGCGGUUCGUCGCGUCGGGAGUGAAAACUCGGAGCUACCAACUCCGAGCCCUGGCUUCCGAUACGGGCAGACUAGAGGUAGGCAGGGGAGAGCGGAACUCCUGGUGUAGCGGUGGAAUGCGCAGAUAUCAGGAAGAACACCGGUGGCGAAGGCGGCUCUCUGGGCCUUACCUGACGCUGAGGAGCGAAAGCGUGGGUAGCGAACAGG
rnacentral:rRNA from 1 species